rnacentral:rRNA from 1 species
CCUACGGGAGGCUGCAGUGGGGGAUAUUGCGCAAUGGGGGAAACCCUGAUGCAGCGACGCCGCGUGGGCGAUGAAGUAUUUCGGUAUGUAAAGCUCUAUCAGCAGGGACGUAGAAUUGACGGUAACUGAGUAAGAAGCACCGGCUAAAUACGUGCCAGCAGCCGCGGUAAUACGUAGGGUGCAAGUGUUAUCCGGAUUUACUGGGGGGAAAGGGAGCGUAGGGGGGACAGCAAGCCAGAUGUGAAAGCCCGCGGCGCAACCGCGGGACUGCAUUGGAAACUACCGGGCUGGAGUGCCGGAGAGGUAGGCGGAAUUCCUAGUGUAGCGGUGAAAUGCGUAGAUAUCAGGAGGAACACCGGCGGCGAAGGCGGCCUGCUGGACUGCGACUGACAUUGAGGCUCGAAAGCGUGGGGAGCGAACAGGAUUAGAUACCCUUGUAGUC